ensembl:lncRNA
GGCUGGAAAGGCAUAAAAAUUAACUGGUUUUCAGGUUUGGAAAGUCUGCUGGAAGUCAUUUUGGAUCAUCUUUGGCUCGAAAUCAGUUCUAAAUUCUUAUUUUUAUUCAUCCAGUUGUGUUCUUUAGUCCACAGACUGUUCUUAGACAUCUUGAAUUACUUCCUAAAGAGGAUGCAGCUCGUGACAGACCGUCUCGAUGUGCCUGUCCUUCCUUAUCAAAGCCUCGCUACAGAAACGUCUCUCCUUCAAAUAUGAGUGUAAAAGAAACUAUUCAUUACUAUUCAUUACUGUGUCUCUGCAACUAGUUCAGCUCAUUUUAUAUGGCCAUUGUGUUUUUUUAAAGGGCACCUAUUAUGCAAAAUUCACUUUUAAAUGUUGUUUGAACAAAAAUAUGUGUUGGCAGUGUGUGUACACAACCACCCUAUAAUGAUACAAAUCCACCUGCUCCUUUUUUAAUCCCCAUAAAUCAUAAGCAGUGUCUCAGAAAAAGCCGUUUGCAGAAUCCUUAAAAUGUGAAGCCACGGUUUACAUGCCCCACCCACGACUUUUGAUGGACACUGUGUGAGCCGCACACAAUCCACCACUUUAUCUUCACACUAUUCAUUCCAGAGCAGUGAGUGAUUUCUGCUUUUGUUUUAUUGUUUGGGUCAUUAACAAUGUAGACAGCAGUAUAGGUACUGUAUAUUACACUGUUGUCACUUGUAUAUUAUGCUGCUGUUACACAGAUCUAAUAUAAACAUGCAAUUUAUUUUCCAGCUGUUUAACUUCACAGACAUAACCGACUGUGCUAUUGUAACUUAUGUGUGUUUUUAACAGAAACUUGAGUGUAUUUGACACUGUUUAUCAGAAGUGUAAACUGAUAUGGCUUUAAAAUGCAUGAUAGACAUAAUCAAAACCAAACAAUGGGCAUUUUCAAUAUGAUAUAAUAAAUGAUCUGGGGGGUAUUUUGAGCUGAAACUUCACAUAAACAUUCUGGGGGCACCUGAGACUUAUAUUACAUCUUGUAAAAAGGGGCAUAAUAGGUGCCCUUUAAAAAAACCUAAUUUGUUUUAACUGUCAUUUGCAGUUGGUAUUGAGGAUGGAUGUCCCUGAAUCAUCAACAAAGUGCUGGAGAAUUUCACAGUGGAGAGUUUCCACCAUGGCAGAAUGUUGGAGUUGGCCAAGGCCAUGGGGCUGACCCUGUCCCGUCAGUCAGCCCACAGUAGAGAACAGGCCGGGACACAGGAGGAGCACAGGAUGGCCUCUCUGGUGCUUCCACUCGUGCAUUACGAUCAACGUAUGGAACACAGGAAAUGCAAGACCUAAGCUGUGGACAGUAAUAACUUUCUAAGAUGGGCACAAAUUGUAACUGCACGUUAAAAUUACAGUGUUCAUGUAAGAUUGAUUUGAAAAUAAAUGGGAUUAUUCAGGUAACGGAAACUGGAAUUGCCUGUGUUCCGAUUAGUUUUUGCAACAACCUGAUGCAAAUAGAUUGCAUUCAAUUUGCAUAUACCUGAGAUGACUGUAAGAGAUUGGAAUUACACCUCUGUUGAUUGAUGUUAUUGAAUAGCAAGCAAGGACAAGGAUUAUGAAAAAUGUCUUUGGUUUUAAGAAUCAAAU